GAUGAACGCUGGCGGCGUGCCUAAUACAUGCAAGUCGAGCGAACAGAUAAGGAGCUUGCUCCUUUGACGUUAGCGGCGGACGGGUGAGUAACACGUGGGUAACCUACCUAUAAGACUGGAAUAACUCCGGGAAACCGGGGCUAAUGCCGGAUAACAUUUAGAACCGCAUGGUUCUAAAGUGAAAGAUGGUUUUGCUAUCACUUAUAGAUGGACCCGCGCCGUAUUAGCUAGUUGGUAAGGUAACGGCUUACCAAGGCAACGAUACGUAGCCGACCUGAGAGGGUGAUCGGCCACACUAGAACUGAGACACGGUCCAGACUCCUACGGGAGGCAGCAGUAGGGAAUCUUCCGCAAUGGGCGAAAGCCUGACGGAGCAACGCCGCGUGAGUGAUGAAGGUCUUCGGAUCGUAAAACUCUGUUAUUAGGGAAGAACAAAUGUGUAAGUAACUGUGCACGUCUUGACGGUACCUAAUCAGAAAGCCACGGCUAACUACGUG
rnacentral:rRNA from 1 species